rnacentral:rRNA from 11 species
UCAAAUUAGGCCUGAGGCCUAAAAGCACCAGAUCAUAUCUGAGCUUGGAAACCAAACAGGUCCAGUCCUGGUUAGUACUUGGAUGGCAAACUACCAAUGAAACCAGACUUUAUUUCAC